AAUUACUUCACAAAGAAUUUUGAAAAAUUUAAUGACAAUUGGUUCCAUUAUAUUCUCUUCUGUAUGAUAUCCCAUUGCCCCUCUGGCCCACUGUUCACAAGCAGGCAAGGGCGCCGCAGAAGACGGAUCCAUACUCCAUGCUCUUUUGUGCUUGAAACCUACCUGAUAUAUUAGUUCCAUAAAUAAAGCAUUCUUUGCAACUUGUGGUAGCACAUGGCCUAUGACUAUAAGUUGGAAUCCCAGUACAUCCUAAGGGAUUUGAUAACUAGAUGUUUAUGAUGACUUAUUGCCCUUGAAUCUAUUAGUGGUUUAUUAUGAUGAGAAGAUAUCCUCACCAU
rnacentral:misc_RNA from 1 species